UACGUAGGGUGCAAGCGUUGUCCGGAAUUAUUGGGCGUAAAGAGCUCGUAGGCGGUUCGUCGCGUCGGCUGUGAAAUCCCGAGGCUCAACCUCGGGUCUGCAGUCGAUACGGGCGGACUGGAGUUCGGCAGGGGAGACUGGAAUUCCUGGUGUAGCGGUGAAAUGCGCAGAUAUCAGGAGGAACACCAAUGGCGAAGGCAGAUCUCUGGGCCGUAACUGACGCUGAGGAGCGAAAGCAUGGGGAGCGAACAGG
rnacentral:rRNA from 1 species